rnacentral:rRNA from 1 species
AGUGAACGCUGGCGGUAGGCCUAACACAUGCAAGUCGAACGGCAGCACAGUAAGAGUUUGCUCUUACGGGUGGCGAGUGGCGGACGGGUGAGGAAUACAUCGGAAUCUACUUUUUCGUGGGGGAUAUCGUAGGGACACUUACGAUAAUACCGCAUACGACCUACGGGAGAAAGCAGGGGAUCUUGGGACCUUGCGCGAUUGAAUGAGCCGAUGUCGGAUUAGCUAGUUGGGGGGGUAAAGGCCCACCAAGGCGACGAACCGUAGCUGGUCUGAGAGGAUGAUCAGCCACACUGGAACUGAGACACGGUCCAGACUCCUACGGGAGGCAGCAGUGGGGAAUAUUGGACAAUGGGCGCAAGCCUGAUCCAGCCAUACCGCGUGGGUGAAGAAGGCCUUCGGGUUGUAAAGCCCUUUUGUUGGGAAAGAAAAGCAGCAGGUUAAUACCCCGCUGUUCUGACGGUACCCAAAGAAUAAGCACCGGCUAACUUCGUG